UACGUAGGGGGCAAGCGUUGUCCGGAAUUAUUGGGCGUAAAGGGCGCGUAGGCGGCUUGACAAGUCACAGGUGAAAUCCCUCGGCUCAACCCUGGAACUGCCUUUGAUACUGUCGAUCUGGAGUAUGGAAGAGGUGAGUGGAAUUCCGAGUGUAGAGGUGAAAUUCGUAGAUAUUCGGAGGAACACCAGUGGCGAAGGCGGCUCACUGGUCCAUUACUGACACUGAGGUGCGAAAGCGUGGGGAGCAAACAGG
rnacentral:rRNA from 1 species